GCGGAGGUGGCAGAGCCUGGUCAAAUGCGCUACCUCGAGGGGGUAGUCCCUUAGUGGGUACGAGGGUUCAAAUCCCUUCCUCCGCA
rnacentral:tRNA from 1 species